rnacentral:rRNA from 1 species
AGUGAACGCUGGCGGUAGGCCUAACACAUGCAAGUCGAACGGCAGCACAGUAAGAGCUUGCUCUUACGGGUGGCGAGUGGCGGACGGGUGAGGAAUACAUCGGAAUCUACUUUUUCGUGGGGGAUAACGUAGGGAAACUUACGCUAAUACCGCAUACGACCUACGGGUGAAAGCAGGGGAUCUUCGGACCUUGCGCGAUUGAAUGAGCCGAUGUCGGAUUAGCUAGUUGGCGGGGUAAAGGCCCACCAAGGCGACGAUCCGUAGCUGGUCUGAGAGGAUGAUCAGCCACACUGGAACUGAGACACGGUCCAGACUCCUACGGGAGGCAGCAGUGGGGAAUAUUGGACAAUGGGCGAAAGCCUGAUCCAGCCAUACCGCGUGGGUGAAGAAGGCCUUCGGGUUGUAAAGCCCUUUUGUUGGGAAAGAAAGGCAGCAGGUUAAUACCCCGCUGUUCUGACGGUACCCAAAGAAUAAGCCCCGGCUAACUUCGUG